rnacentral:tRNA from 1 species
GGAUUUAUAGCUCAGUGGCACAGCACCUGCCUUGCAAGCACAAGGUCCUGAGUUCAAUCCCCAGUACUA